rnacentral:rRNA from 1 species
AUUGAACGCUGGCGGCAUGCCUUACACAUGCAAGUCGAACGGUAGCAGGUCUUCGGAUGCUGACGAGUGGCGAACGGGUGAGUAAUACAUCGGAACGUGCCCGAUCGUGGGGGAUAACGCAGCGAAAGCUGUGCUAAUACCGCAUACGAUCUACGGAUGAAAGCGGGGGAUCUUCGGACCUCGUGCGGACGGAGCGGCCGAUGGCAGAUUAGGUAGUUGGUGGGGUAAAGGCUCACCAAGCCUGCGAUCUGUAGCUGGUCUGAGAGGACGACCAGCCACACUGGGACUGAGACACGGCCCAGACUCCUACGGGAGGCAGCAGUGGGGAAUUUUGGACAAUGGGCGCAAGCCUGAUCCAGCCAUGCCGCGUGCAGGAUGAAGGCCUUCGGGUUGUAAACUGCUUUUGUACGGAACGAAAAGUCUCUUCUUAAUAAAGAGGGAUCAUGACGGUACCGUAAGAAUAAGCACCGGCUAACUACGUGCCAGCCGCCGCCGUAA